UACGUAGGGGGCUAGCGUUGUCCGGAAUCAUUGGGCGUAAAGCGCGCGUAGGCGGCCAGAUAAGUCCGGUGUGAAGUCACAGGCUCAACCUGUGAAUGCCGCUGGAAACUGUCUGGCUAGAGUCCGGAAGGGGCGAGUGGAAUUCCUGGUGUAGCGGUGAAAUGCGCAGAUAUCAGGAGGAACACCAAUGGCGAAGGCAGCUCGCUGGAACGGUACUGACGCUGAGGCGCGAAAGCGUGGGGAGCGAACAGGA
rnacentral:rRNA from 1 species